UACGUAGGGUGCAAGCGUUAAUCGGAAUUACUGGGCGUAAAGCGUGCGCAGGCGGUUUGUUAAGUCUGUUGUGAAAUCCCCGAGCUCAACUUGGGAAUUGCAAUGGAUACUGGCAGGCUGGAGUAUGGUAGAGGAAGGUGGAAUUCCUGGUGUAGCGGUGGAAUGCGCAGAUAUCAGGAGGAACACCGGUGGCGAAGGCGGGUCUCGUGGGCCGAUGACUGACGCUGGAGGAGCGAAAGCGUGGGGAGCGAACAGG
rnacentral:rRNA from 1 species